rnacentral:rRNA from 1 species
UCAACCUGGUUGAUCCUGCCAGUAGUCAUAUGCUUGUCCCAAAGAUUAAGCCAUGCAUGUCUAAGUAUAAACAAAUCUGUACUGUGAAACUGCGAAUGGCUCAUUAAAUCAGUUAUAAUUUACUUGAUAGUCACUUUAUCAUUGGAUAACCGUGGUAAUUCUAGAGCUAAUACAUGCAACAAGCCUGACUUCGG